UCCAGACUCCUACGGGAGGCAGCAGUGGGGAAUAUUGGGCAAUGGGCGAAAGCCUGACCCAGCAAUGCCGCGUGAAUGAAGAAGGUCUUAGGAUUGUAAAAUUCUGUCCUAUGGGAAGAAACAAAUGACGGUACCAUAGGAGGAAGCCACGGCUAACUACGUGCCAGCAGCCGCGGUAAUACGUAGGUGGCAAGCGUUGUCCGGAUUUACUGGGUAUAAAGGGCGUGCAGCCGGAGAGACAAGUCAGAUGUGAAAUCCGCAGGCUCAACCUGCGAACUGCAUUUGAAACUGUUUCCCUUGAGUAUCGGAGAGGUCAUCGGAAUUCCUAGUGUAGCGGUGAAAUGCGUAGAUAUUAGGAGGAACACCAGUGGCGAAGGCGGCCUGCUGGACUGCAACUGACGUUGAGGCUCGAAGGCGUGGGGAGCAAACAGGAUUAGAUACCCGAGUA
rnacentral:rRNA from 1 species